rnacentral:lncRNA from 14 species
GGGACUGACCACCCUGGUCCUGCUGUGGGUACACGGCAAUGGGAUGCACCUUCUGCUGUCCACCUGCAGGAGCAGGAUUUGGGUGGAAAGCUGUUUUUGUGGAGCAACAUACUCUUGGUCAUGAAAACGAUGAGCCCCAAUCUGAUUCUUUAGGAUGUGUUAUACUCUGAUUUCCAUCAAAGUAGCCCAAGAAGACCCAGGGAUUUCUUUGGGAAAGGGAUCCUCACAAACCCCAUGUGCACUGUGCUCAGGAGGGAAGGGAUUUACAGAUGGUACCUCCAAUGGGAGCAGGCAGGAAGGACUUGGCAAUUCCUCACUACCUCCUUGCAAUGGCAUUGACUUGACCAGCAAAAUGAACAGGAGUCCCCAUGUCCUCACCACCAUGUUUUUAAACAAAAGCGGGGACCGAAUGAAACGGAGCUGUGUUGAUUCCACCCGGUUCAAUAUAUCUUCACUUUCUAAUGAUCAAGUCACCUUGAGGGAAGCAUGAGCUCUGCUGCAGCUGAUGGAUUCCAUUGUGAUCCCCAUUGAAGAAAGGCAGCCCUCAUGUCUCCUCCCUGCUGGACACCCACACCUAACAGCAAGCAGGAUCUUCAUGCACCUCAUUGCCUUGCUUCUGCUUAGCAUCCU